UACGUAGGGUGCGAGCGUUAAUCGGAAUUACUGGGCGUAAAGCGUGCGUAGGCGGUUCUCCAAGUCCGUUGUGAAAGCCCCGGGCUCAACCUGGGAAUGGCAGUGGAAACUAGGGGACUUGAAUCUGGCAGAGGGGGGUGGAAUGCCGCGUGUAGCAGUGAAAUGCGUAGAGAUGCGGCGGAACACCGAUGGCGAAGGCAGCCCCCUGGGCUGAGAUUGACGCUCAGGCACGAAAGCGUGGGGAGCAAACAGG
rnacentral:rRNA from 1 species